CCUACGGGAGGCAGCAGUGAGGAAUAUUGGUCAAUGGACGAGAGUCUGAACCAGCCAAGUAGCGUGAAGGAUGACUGCCCUAUGGGUUGUAAACUUCUUUUAUAUGGGAAUAAAACGUUCCACGUGUGGGAUUUUGUAUGUACCAUAUGAAUAAGGAUCGGCUAACUCCGUGCCAGCAGCCGCGGUAAUACGGAGGAUCCGAGCGUUAUCCGGAUUUAUUGGGUUUAAAGGGAGCGUAGGUGGUUUGUUAAGUCAGUUGUGAAAGUUUGCGGCUCAACCGUAAAAUUGCAGUUGAAACUGGCAGUCUUGAGUACGGUAGAGGUAGGCGGAAUGCGUGGUGUAGCGGUGAAAUGCUUAGAUAUCACGAAGAACUCCGAUUGCGAAGGCAGUUCACUGGACUGCAACUGACACUGAGGCUCGAAAGUGUGGGUAUCAAACAGGAUUAGAUACCCUGGUAGUC
rnacentral:rRNA from 1 species